UACGGAGGAUGCGAGCGUUAUCCGGAUUUAUUGGGUUUAAAGGGUGCGUAGGCGGUCUGUUAAGUCAGCGGUAAAAUUGCGGGGCUCAACCCCGUCGAGCCGUUGAAACUGGCAGACUUGAGUUGGCGAGAAGUACGCGGAAUGCGCGGUGUAGCGGUGAAAUGCAUAGAUAUUAGGAGGAACACCAGUGGCGAAGGCGGCUUGCUGGACUGAAACUGACGCUGAGGCUCGAAAGCGUGGGGAGCAAACAGG
rnacentral:rRNA from 1 species